rnacentral:tRNA from 1 species
GAGGGUAUAAUUCAGAGGCAGAGCACGUGCUUAGCAUGCAUGAGGUCCUGGGUUCAGUCCCCAGUACCUUCA